rnacentral:rRNA from 1 species
GAUGAACGCUGGCGGCGUGCUUAACACAUGCAAGUCGAACGGUGGACGAGGGAGCUUGCUCCCUCCGGAUCAGUGGCGAACGGGUGAGUAACACGUGAGCAAUCUGCCCCGAACUCUGGGAUAAGCGCUGGAAACGGCGUCUAAUACCGGAUACGACGCGCGAAGGCAUCUUCUGCGCGUGGAAAGAAUUUCGGUUCGGGAUGAGCUCGCGGCCUAUCAGCUAGUUGGUGAGGUAACGGCUCACCAAGGCGACGACGGGUAGCCGGCCUGAGGGGGUGACCGGCCACACAGGGACUGGGACACGGCCCAGACUCCUACGGGAGGCAGCAGUGGGGAAUUUUGGACAAUGGGCGGAAGCCUGAUCCAGCAACGCCGCGUGAGGGAUGACGGCCUUCGGGUUGUAAACCUCUUUCAGCGGGGACGAAGCGCAAGUGACGGUACCCGCAGAAGAAGCACCGGCCAACUACGUGCCAGCAGCCGCGGUAAAAC